GAUGAACGCUAGCGGCAGGCCUAACACAUGCAAGUCGAGGGGUAGCAGGAUUAAGCUUGCUUAAUUGCUGACGACCGGCGCACGGGUGCGUAACGCGUAUGCAACCUACCUUAUACUGGGGUAUAGCCCGGAGAAAUUCGGAUUAAUCCCCCAUAGUACUAAUGAAUCGCAUGGUUUAUUAGUUAAAGCAUUGCGGUAUAAGAUGGGCAUGCGUCCUAUUAGCUAGAUGGUGAGGUAACGGCUCACCAUGGCUACGAUAGGUAGGGGGCCUGAUGGGGUGGGCAGCCACACUGGGACGUCAACACGGAACAGACUCCUACGGGAGGCAGCAGUGAGGAAUAUUGGGGAAUGGGCGCAAGCCUGAACCAGCCAUGCCGCGUGCAGGAAGAAUGCCCUAUGGGUUGUAAACUGCUUUUAUUUGGGAAUAAACCUCUUUACGUGUAGAGAGCUGAAGGUACCAAAUGAAUAAGCACCGGCUAACUCCGUGCAAGCCGCCGCGGUAA
rnacentral:rRNA from 1 species